rnacentral:tRNA from 1 species
UUACGGCUUAGUUUAAAUAGAACAGUCAAAUUGCAAUUGAUAAGUGAAUUCUCAGCGGU